UCAAAUGUAGCAUGAAUAGUUCUUGCCAUGAACCCUCCAAGUGCAUAUAGCACCAAAUUUAGACCGGGUUAAGAAAUUUUCAAUAAACUUUAAUGGGAGGCCAAUUCAAGAAACAAAUUUCAUGAUAGAGUUAUAUGUAUAUAGCUUCUAAACAUGAGAAUUCAAAGUUUUAACAGUGAAACCAUUGGAUUUCCCAUCAAGGAUAUUGAAGAUAGUUGGCCAAGAGAUUCAACACACCAUAAUUUCUUUGCAGAUUUAACAUUUUCCUCUGAUAUUGAGAAAACUGCAUUUGGGAGCAGUAUCUUGUUGGGUUCUAUUGAACCACCUCAAAACUGAAAUUCCAACACAAUGAUACCCAGAAAAUAAAUCAGCACAAGAUUUACAGAUUACUGACAGAUCCAACCAAAUCAGUUGACCCCAAAACAACAAAUCAGCAGAAAAGUCGAAGCACACCAAAGAUUUAUAAGUGGAAAACCCUGUGGCAAGUAACCAAAAUUUCACCACCAUAAGCAAAGCAAUUACAAAGAUACUAGUUCAAUAUCUGAAGCUUUGUGUUGAAAGGCAGCAAAGCAAUCCACAACAAGAAUUUCACAUGUGAAUCUACCUAUGCCCAUUUAUUGCAUAUAGCUUUACCUCAUCUCCUUUUGUUCUUGCAAAAGACCCAGAAACUUUAUAUUCUGUCUGAUCCCUUGCCCCAUGACCAUCUUCAUCAAGCUUCUGCCUCUCUUCUUUUUUUCACCAUUAUCUCUUAGGCUUUUCUUGGUCAACGUCUGAAAUAAUCUCAAAUAACCCUUUUAAGAUCAAUAAAAGAACAACUAAGGGCACG
rnacentral:lncRNA from 1 species